CAGCAGCCGCGGUAAUACGUAGGUGGCAAGCGUUGUCCGGAAUUAUUGGGCGUAAAGGGCUCGCAGGCGGUUUCUUAAGUCUGAUGUGAAAGCCCCCGGCUCAACCGGGGAGGGUCAUUGGAAACUGGGAAACUUGAGUGCAGAAGAGGAGAGUGGAAUUCCACGUGUAGCGGUGAAAUGCGUAGAGAUGUGGAGGAACACCAGUGGCGAAGGCGACUCUCUGGUCUGUAACUGGCGCUGAGGAGCGAAAGCGUGGGGAGCGAACAGGAUUAGAUACCCCAGUAGUCCCUGUCUCUUAUAC
rnacentral:rRNA from 1 species